rnacentral:rRNA from 1 species
GAUGAACGCUGGCGGCGUGCCUAAUACAUGCCAGUCGAGCGAACAGACGAGGAGCUUGCUCCUCUGACGUUAGCGGCGGACGGGUGAGUAACACGUGGAUAACCUACCUAUAAGACUGGGAUAACUUCGGGAAACCGGAGCUAAUACCGGAUAAUAUAUUGAACCGCAUGGUUCAAUAGUGAAAGACGGUUUUGCUGUCACUUAUAGAUGGAUCUGCGCCGCAUUAGCUAGUUGGUAAGGUAACGGCUUACCAAGGCAACGAUGCGUAGCCGAGCUGAGAGGCGGAUCGGCCACACUGGAGCUGAGACACGGUCCAGAGUCCUACGGGAGGCAGCAGUAGGGAAUCUUCCGCAAUGGGCGAAAGCCUGACGGAGCAACGCCGCGUGAGUGAUGAAGGUCUUCGGAUCGUAAAACUCUGUUAUUAGGGAAGAACAAAUGUGUAAGUAACUAUGCACGUCUUGACGGUACCUAAUCAGAAAGCCACGGCUAACUACGUG